AUUGAACGCUGGCGGCAUGCCUUACACAUGCAAGUCGAACGGCAGCAUGAUCUAGCUUGCUAGAUUGAUGGCGAGUGGCGAACGGGUGAGUAAUACAUCGGAACGUGCCUGUUGUGGGGGAUAACUAGUUGAAAGAUUAGCUAAUACCGCAUACGACCUGAGGGUGUAAGUGGGGGACCGCAAGGCCUCCUUCUUUUGGAGCGGCCGAUGUCUGAUUAGCUAGUUGGUGAGGUAAAGGCUCACCAAGGCGACGAUCAGUAGCUGGUCUGAGAGGACGAUCAGCCACACUGGGACUGAGACACGGCCCAGACUCCUACGGGAGGCAGCAGUGGGGAAUUUUGGACAAUGGGCGAAAGCCUGAUCCAGCAAUGCCGCGUGUGUGAAGAAGGCCUUCGGGUUGUAAAGCACUUUUGUCCGGAAAGAAAUGGCUCUGGUUAAUACCUGGGGUCGAUGACGGUACCGGAAGAAUAAGGACCGGCUAACUACGUG
rnacentral:rRNA from 1 species